UACGUAGGGUGCAAGCGUUGUCCGGAAUUAUUGGGCGUAAAGAGCUCGUAGGCGGUCUGUCGCGUCUGCUGUGAAAUCUCAGGGCUUAACCCUGAGCUUGCAGUGGGUACGGGCAGACUAGAGUGCGGUAGGGGAGACUGGAAUUCCUGGUGUAGCGGUGAAAUGCGUAGAUAUCGGUAGGAACACCCGUGGCGAAGGCGGUCUCCUGGGACGUUCUUGACGCUGAUGCGCGAAAGCUGGGGGAGCGAACGGG
rnacentral:rRNA from 1 species